CCGGCCACAUCACGUUGAGAUACCGGUUCCUGUACAAUCACCGAAGUUAAGCAAUAUCGAGCCUGGUCAGUACCAUGAUGGGUAACCUCUUGGCAAUAGCAGGU